rnacentral:sRNA from 10 species
GGUUUUGAAAUUUCCUAUUUUAAGAUUUUCAUGCAGAAUGUUGCUCUUGAUUUGUGUUUGCCCUUAUAGUUCUUGAUUAUUGGGACAGAGGCUGCUCUUAGGAACUAUUAGCAAUUUAGCAUUCCAAUCGAUAUCUCAUAUCUGUGUGGAUGGAGCUUUGGAGGGAGGUAUUUGUCUGUCUUAGAUUGACCUAUCGUCUGCUUAAAACUUGAGAUUAGUAUGUUUUUUGUGCUUGUUGAAAAAUUCUAGUCAUCACUUGCUAGUGUUGAGAGAUUAUGGACGUCACUUGCUAGUUGGGGUCAUAAUCUUACAUGCAGACAUUUGUCUCGUGUUUGUGUGCUUGGAAUUUUAUAGUGAUAUUUUGUGAUUGUAGGCAGCUGUAGGUAUUUUCUACUUUUUGAAGCUCUGUUGACUAAUGCAUAUUAAAUUGUUUUAUUGUCUUGGAAUUUUUGCUUCCAAUAUCUUUUUAUAGUUUGUUUGAUCAGGGUCUCUUGGAUUUUUUUGCUUCCACUAUCUUUUUGUAGUUUGUUUGAUCUGGGUCUCUUGGAUUGUCAAUUUUGGAAUCCUGCCUCAAGGAAAUUUGCUUCCUGGUUCUUAUCGUAUCACUUAAAAAUAUUUAGUUUUGGAUUUUUUAGAAUUCUGUGUAGUUAAUGUCACUGAGCAUUGUCUUUUUGACCCUUUAUUAUUUUAGAUGUUGAUGUGUUACCAGUUUCCAAAAUUAAGAGCAGGAAGGGCAAGGAUGAAGGCUCUUGCUGCAAUUGAAAUGGGGGUGUUUUUUCUUAAAUGUUUUCAUACACUUCUUUUAUUCUUUGUUUUGGAACUUCUUAUUUUUCUAGUUUUUCGUGUAGUGUACUGCUUUUUGUUUGCUUUCUUGCGCUCAUGCAUUCUUGACUCUUGGGUCUGCAGAGGCUGCUGUUAGAAAUUAUUAGCAACAUGCUGGGAGAAUGAGAUCUUAUAUAGCUCUGUUAUGGAGCUUGUGAAGGAGGGACUGGGUAAGUAGAUGAGAAGGUGAGAGGACCACUUUAAAUUUCUGUCUUACAUUUUACCCAAAAUUUGUUUAAACAACUCGAGAGAAGUGCAGGUUUGUGUGAUGGUUUUAUACGUUUGGGUAGAUUGCUGUAAUCAGUUGCUAGUUUUGAAAGAUUAUUUUAUGCAAGACAUUUUUCUUGUGUUUGUGAUUGAUAUGUAUGUGUCCUUCUGUGAUUGUAGGUAGCAGAUACUUAUUCUGGUUUUUAAAGCUCUGCCACUAAUUUUUAUGUCAGUUGUGGUUUCUGGGAGAUUGGUUUUCUGGUUCUUCUCAUAUUUCAUUAUAGUCUUUUUGUUUUGUAGCCUUUAGGAUCCUGUGGAGUUAUGUUACUGAGCAUGAUAUGAUGUUAUUGACUGUUUUAUUAUUUUAGAUGCUGAUGCUAUCAUUUUCCAAAACUAAAAGGCGGAAGGAUAAGGAUGAAGGAUACUGCAGUGGCUGUUGCAAGAGGUAUGCUGCUUUUGGUUGCUUUUUUUGCCCCUUACAUUUUGGGUGUUCAGAGGCUGCUUUUUGGGGUUGUUAGCAUUACACCGGGAGAAGAAGAUCGUUUAUAGUUCUGUUAUCUCGUAUCUUUGUGGUUGACGCUUGGAAUGGAGGAAUUAGUUAAGUAUCUUUGUGGAUGGAGCUUGGGAUGGAGGGAUUAGGGAAGUAUCUUUGUGGACGGAGGGAUUCACUUCCUGGUUCUUUUGGGUCUCUUGGAUUUUCAAUGUUGGAAUACCGUCUCAAUUCUCAAGGAGAUUGGCUUCCUGGUUCUUCUCAUAUUUCUUUAUACUCUUUUUGUUUUGGAGCUUUUAGUAGCCUGUGGGGUUAUGUUACUGAGCAUGGUAUGAUGUUAUUGACUUUUUUAUUAUUUUAGAUGCUGAUGUUAUCAUUUUCCAAAACUAAAAGGAGAAAGUAAGGAUGAAGGAUAAUGCAGGUUGUUUUGUUGAAAGUUCUUCAUAUUUGUAUUCUUAGUUUUUAAUGCCUUCUAUAUCUGUUAUGGCUUUUUUUGAUCUGGGUGUCUUGGAUUUUCAAUUUAUAUUCACCUUCAGCAUGUAACAUAGAAUUUAUACUAUGGUGUAUUUUUAUUUAAAAUUUCUUUUUACCUUUGUUUCAGGGCCUCUUAGUUUUUAAUGCUUUCAAUAUCUCUUAUGGCUUUGUUUGAGCAGGGUCUCUUGGAUUUUCAAUUUUGGAAUACUGUCUCAAUUCUCAAGGAGAUUGGCUUCCUGGUUCUUCUCCUAUUUCUUGAUAGUCUUUUUGUUUUUCAGCUUUUAGGAUCCUGUGGAGUUAUGUUACUGAGCAUGAUAUGAUGUUAUUGACUAUUUCAUUGUUGUAGAUGCUUAUGUUAUCAUUUUCCAAAGCUAGGAGAAAGGAUAAUUUGUUUGAUCAGGGUCUCUUGGAUAUUCAAUUUUGGAAUGCCUCAACUCCUAGGAGACUUGCCUCAACUCCUAGGGUCUCAAUUUUGGAAUGCCUCAACUCUUGGAUAUUCAAUUUUGAGUGAUACGAUAUGAAAUAGGAAACUAUUUCAUAUCGUAUCACUCAAAAUUCUUUAGUUUUGGAGUUUUUAGGAUCCUGUGUAGUUAAUGUCAGUGAGCAUGAUAUGAUUUUUUGUCUCUUCAUUAUUUUAGAUGCUGAUGUGUUAUCAGGUUCCAAAAUUGAGAGCAGGAAGGGCAAGGAUGAAGGAUCUUGCUGCCAGUUGGAAUGGGGGUUAUUUUUACUUUAUUGUUUUGCACUUCUUUUAUUCUUUGUGUUGGAAUGUAUUCUUUUUCUAGUUUUUCAUGCCAUAUAUUACUUUUUGAUUGCUUUUUGUGCUUACGUGUUCUUGAUUCUUUGGUCUCCAGAUGCUGCUGUUUGAAAUUAUUACCAAUAUGUAGGCGGAAUGAGAUCCUAUAUAUUGUGUUAUGUCUUUGUGGAUGGAGCUUGGGAAGGAG